GGGGGGGGGGGGGGGCGGGCGGGACACAGGCAAGGCGAACGGUAACGGGCCUUCGGGUGCCGACGAGUGGCGGACGGGGGAGUAAUACAUCGGAACGUGCCCGAUCGGGGGGGAUAACGAGGCGAAAGCUUUGCUAAUACCGCAUACGAUCUACGGCUGCAAGCCGGGGACCGCAAGGCCUUGCGCGGACGGAGCGGCCGAUGGCAGAUUAGGUAGUUGGUGGGAUAAAAGCUUACCAAGCCGACGAUCUGUAGCUGGUCUGAGAGGAUGAUCAGCCACACUGGGACUGAGACACGGCCCAGACUCCUACGGGAGGCAGCAGUGGGGAAUUUUGGACAAUGGGCGCAAGCCUGAUCCAGCCAUGCCGCGUGCAGGAUGAAGGCCUUCGGGUUGUAAACUGCUUUUGUACGGAACGAAAAGCCUUCUUUUAAUACAGGAGGGUCAUGACGGUACCGUAAGAAUAAGCACCGGCUAACUACGUG
rnacentral:rRNA from 1 species